rnacentral:miRNA from 1 species
AGACAUGUGCUCUGCUCCUAG